AUACGGAGGAUGCGAGCGUUAUCCGGAUUUAUUGGGUUUAAAGGGUGCGUAGGCGGUUUGUCAAGUCAGCGGUGAAACGCAAGGGCUUAACCCUUGACCUGCCGUUGAAACUGAUUGACUAGAAUGCGGAUGCUGUGGGAGGAAUGUGUGGUGUAGCGGUGAAAUGCAUAGAUAUCACACAGAACACCGAUUGCGAAGGCAUCUCACAAAUCCGUGAAUGACGCUGAGGCACGAAAGUGUGGGGAUCAAACAGGAUUAGAUACCCUGGUAGUCCACACUGUAAACGAUGAUAACUCGCUGUCGGCGAUACACAGUCGGUGGCCAAGCGAAAGCGAUAAGUUAUCCACCUGGGGAGUACGACCGCAAGGUUGAAACUCAAAGGAAUUGACGGGG
rnacentral:rRNA from 1 species